UUUUUGGGGGGCGGGAGGAGUGUGCAGAUUUUAGCAAGUAUAUUCUUGUAUUGAGAAAACUAAUAUUCACAUGAGUAAUGAGCAUAUUUUUCCUUACCAGGUUCAUAAAAAUUUCCACUGUUACUUCUGGUAAUUAUCAAAAACACUCACACCAAACACAUAUUCUCCACUUCUCAGAAGUUUGCCUCCCACUCCACCAGUCAUACUGUGAUGCUUCAAGGUCACAUGGUCAUGGAUGGCUUCUAGUUUUGAUACUGACAUGAGAAUGGUGCUUCCCAAUUUUCAUUGCUGUCACUUUACGUUUCAGUCCCAAGUGUGUGUACAUAUAUUUAACUAAUAUAUGUGCUCCCCAGAGGGGAAACUUCUGUUCAAAUUGAAGUUCCCUCCUCACUCUCAACUAUCUCCCACCACCACCCACAAAGCAAACAUUUUGAAUGAAAUAAUACUAACUAUCAUUUGGUGUCAUGAUUCAACUACGUUAUUUAAAUGACAGAAAAUAAUUCUUACCGUUAGAGUACAUUUGACAAAGCAAUUCUAAAUCCCUGAAUAAGGAAGAGUUUUUCAAAAGAACAAACUGAAUUCUCAAAGAAAAUCAUAAAGAAAUUUGGUGGCUUUCAAAGUGAGAACUAUUCUCUGGGUUCAAAGCAUUUAUAGGGUCCUCCUGGGUGCUGACUGGAGGCUGCACCCUUCCUUCACCACCCCAGCCUGAGCCACUUCUGUUUUGUCUCUCUUACGUAGUAAGUUUCUGCUACAAGAUAACUUUUGAAUA
rnacentral:lncRNA from 1 species